CUGUUGGAUGUGUUUGUUCAAUUUAGGAGACAAACAGGGUCAAAGCAACAAAGCAAAACAGGACAUCAGGAUUUGCGGAGGCAGCGUGCCAUCUAACCAAGGCUGCAUCUAUGACAACCAGUACAGUGAAAGGACACAACUCAAGCUGGCUGAGAUGAUGACUGGAUGAAGACCAAUGGCAGAGGAUGGAAGACAACAGGACAACAUAAGCAUGCAAGUAACAUGGGUAGAGUCUAUCCUUGUAGUAUUGACGAGACUGCUUUUAGCCCUGGAUUUAACUUGUUGACACUUACAGUAAAUAUCUCAACACACAUGUCAAACACUCGUUUUUAAUACCUGUUAAGUCUUUGGUUCCACCUCAUUUGUCUCUUUUGUUGGGUUAACAUUUUCUGAGCAAGUAAAAUAGCUUUUAACACUUUUGCCUUAUUCAACAAUUCAGAGUAACACUUCAGUUUUACUUGCACUGACCGCAGUGUAUUUUUCUCAAACACAAAAUUUCCCCCUUCAGUACUGUAACAUUGCCAUAAACAUAUUGCUGACAAUCUGAGUGUCUUGCCAAAAGUCAGACUGUGCUGAAAGAUGAAACUGAGAGCCAGAGUUAAACCCGAACCCCCACUCCUGUCUGAGAAGGUCACGUCCAAGACGUAAUAUUUAAGGUACGUCUUUAAGGUAAUAUUUAAGGUACGGCCCGAGGUGCUUUAUGCACAGCAACAGCCCACUGUCAUGUGUUUUCAAACAGACGUACUGAAAAACAAAAAAACUGGUGUGACAGUCAGAGAGAAAGUUAAUUUUGAGUGGAAAUCACUACAAAACCUAUUUUGAACCAGAAAAUCCUGAAAAAAACUAUAAGAUCUACAGUGUAUUAGAUCCAGCUAGCUAACACUAAUGCAAUUCACAUUUACUUCCUGAAACCAAACACUAUAUAUGACUCCUUAUGUCCAACAUAAAUAAAAUAAAUGCAGUAAAUUUCCUUGUUCAAUAUUCAGAGCCAUACCCUUGGGUGAAAUAUUUUUUGUUGGAUAUGGUUAAGUCUCAAUUCAGAAGCACACCAUCAUUCUUGGUACAGGUCACUGAAUGGACAAGCAGGAGCUCUAUUGCUGAAUUAAGUCUUAGAGUUUAAACCAUUUAGAGCAGUGCUU